rnacentral:rRNA from 1 species
GACGAACGCUGGCGGCGUGCUUAACACAUGCGAGUCGAACGGAAAGGCCCUGCUUUUGUGGGGUGCUCGAGUGGCGAACGGGUGAGUAACACGUGAGUAACCUGCCCUUGACUUUGGGAUAACUUCAGGAAACUGGGGCUAAUACCGGAUAGGAGCUCCUGCUGCAUGGUGGGGGUUGGAAAGUUUCGGCGGUUGGGGAUGGACUCGCGGCUUAUCAGCUUGUUGGUGGGGUAGUGGCUUACCAAGGCUUUGACGGGUAGCCGGCCUGAGAGGGUGACCGGCCACAUGGGGACUGAGAUACGGCCCAGACUCCUGCGGGAGGCAGCAGUGGGGAAUAUUGCACAAGGGGCGGAAGCCUGAUGCAGCAACGCCGCGUGCGGGAUGACGGCCUUCGGGUUGGAAACCGCUUUCGCCUGUGACGAAGCGUGAGUGACGGGAAUGGGUAAAGAAGCACAGGCUAACUACGU